GUACAUUGAUCCCAUCGGCUGGUGUCAGGAGAGAGGCCUGCCACUGACGCCCCCUCAGGGUCCCCGGGAGAGAGCCUGACGACCCAGCAGCCCAGCUUCUCCUCCGUGCCUCAGCCCCUCCGAAUACAGCUUCCACCACAGGUCAGACUUCAGCGUCUCUAUAAUG
rnacentral:lncRNA from 1 species